GACACCCAGGGGACACCCAGGGGACAUCAGGGGACACCCAGGGGACACUCAGGGGACAUCAGGGGACACCCAGGUGACACCCAGGGGACACCCAGGGGACACCCAGGGGACAUCAGGGGACACCCAGGUGACACCCAGGGGACACCCAGGGGACAUCAGGGGACACCCAGGGGACAUCAGGGACACCCAGGUGACACCCAGGGGACACCCAGGGGACA